UUGUUUGCAAGCCCACAAAAAGAAGGGAUCCAGUGCCUUUGUUCAUUUGUUAUUUGUGUGGCAAGCCCAAAGAGGAGAACAGGUUUGUGCCCACUCCCCUUUAUUUAGUUUUUGUGAAGCCCAAUGUAUUCUUGCUGCAUAUUGGGAGGUAGAUAAAUAAUAACAAUGAGACUCAAAGUCUCAUCCCUUUGCCUGUGUCUUCUUCCCCAUUUCCCCGGACUUUGUUCAAUAUGGCAUUGUGCACUUAUUCCUUUUGUCCGUCACUUUUGGUGGCUUUUAGCUAUUCUUUUGACUUUCCUUUUCCUUUCUUUGCUGGAAAGGUCUUCAUGUCCUCGUAAAAAUCUGAAUGAGUCCAAAGGCAUGAUGAAGGAAAGUGGGUGUUGGAGCCAAGGAAGGGAAGGAAGGAGUUAACGUAGAGGGUGCGGUAGCUCUGCAAUAUAACACUAUGUUCUGUAGCUUAACUCGCAAGGUUGUCUUCAUGAAAAUUGUUCCUUAGCUUGUGAACUACAACAUAUCCAAAUUUGAGAGCCAUCGGAGUAGUACAACUCCAGAUAUUCAGAUCAACAUACUUUCUUCAUCAAAAUUGUUCCUUAGCUGGUGAACUACAACAUAUCCAAUGUUGAGAUUCAUCGGAGUAAUACAACUCCAGAUAUUCAGAUCUUCGAAACACCGCAGCAGCGUUGAAGCUUGCAGAAAUCUGACCGUCGUUUUGUUGGAGCUUCAUCACUCUAACUUCCGUCGCUCAAAUGGAAACAUUUCCUUCGUGAAAGUUGUUCAUCUGCUCAAGAACUAUAAGAUGUCCAAAUUCAGCUCUACUGAAGAAGAGCAGGAGUUGCAGAAAUUUGAUAGAUGGAAAGAGGCGGAAGAGGGAGAGGGAGAAAAAAGGUUGCU